rnacentral:rRNA from 1 species
GUGCCAGCAGCCGCGGUAAUACGGAGGAUGCAAGCGUUAUCCGGAAUGAUUGGGCGUAAAGCGUCCGUAGGUGGUUAUGUAAGUCUGUGGUUAAAGCGUGGGGCUCAACCCCAUAAAGGCCAUGGAAACUACAAGACUUGAGUAAAGUAGGGGUAGAGGGAAUUCCCAGUGUAGCGGUGAAAUGCGUAGAGAUUGGGAAGAACACCGGUGGCGAAAGCGCUCUACUGGACUUAAACUGACACUGAGGGACGAAAGCUAGGGGAGCGAAAGGGAUUAGAUACCCCUGUAGUCCUAGCCGUAAACGAUGGAUACUAGGUGUUGCCCGUAUCGACCCGGGCAGUGCCGUAGCUAACGCGUUAAGUAUCCCGCCUGGGGAGUACGCACGCAAGUGUGAAACUCAAAGGAAUUGACGGGGGCCCGCACAAGCGGUGGAGUAUGUGGUUUAAUUCGAUGCAACGCGAAGAACCUUACCAGGGCUUGACAUGUCUGGAAUCUCUGCGAAAGUAGAGAGUGCCUUCGGGAACCAGAACACAGGUGGUGCAUGGCUGUCGUCAGCUCGUGUCGUGAGAUGUUGGGUUAAGUCCCGCAACGAGCGCAACCCUCGUUUUUAGUUGCCAUCAUUAAGUUGGGCACUCUAGAAAGACUGCCGGUGACAAACCGGAGGAAGGUGGGGAUGACGUCAAGUCAGCAUGCCCCUUACGUUCUGGGCUACACACGUACUACAAUGCAACGGACAAAGGGCAGCUACACAGCGAUGUGAUGCUAAUCUCAUAAACCGUUGCUCAGUUCAGAUCGCAGGCUGCAACUCGCCUGCGUGAAGUCGGAAUCGCUAGUAAUUGCAGGUCAGCAUACUGCAGUGAAUUCGUUCCCGGGCCUUGUACACACCGCCCGUCACACCAUGGAAGCUGGCAACGCCCGAAGUCAUUACCCCAACCGCUUGCGGAGGGGGAUGCCUAAGGCAGUGCUGGUGACUGGGGUGAAGUCGUAACAAGGUAACC